rnacentral:rRNA from 1 species
UGGGGAAUAUUGCACAAUGGGCGCAAGCCUGAUGCAGCCAUGCCGCGUGUAUGAAGAAGGCCUUCGGGUUGUAAAGUACUUUCAGCGGGGAGGAAGGGAGCAAAGUUAAUACCUUUGCUCAUUGACGUUACCCGCAGAAGAAGCACCGGCUAACUCCGUGCCAGCAGCCGCGGUAAUACGGAGGGUGCAAGCGUUAAUCGGAAUUACUGGGCGUAAAGCGCACGCAGGCGGUCUGUCAAGUCGGAUGUGAAAUCCCCGGGCUCAACCUGGGAACUGCAUUCGAAACUGGCAGGCUAGAGUCUUGUAGAGGGGGGUAGAAUUCCAGGUGUAGCGGUGAAAUGCGUAGAGAUCUGGAGGAAUACCGGUGGCGAAGGCGGCCCCCUGGACAAAGACUGACGCUCAGGUGCGAAAGCGUGGGGAGCAAACAGG